GCCUACGGGAGGCAGCAGUGGGGAAUAUUGCACAAUGGGGGAAACCCUGAUGCAGCGACGCCGCGUGAGUGAAGAAGUAAUUCGUUACGUAAAGCUCUAUCAGCAGGGAAGAAAAUGACGGUACCUGAGUAAGAAGCCCCGGCUAACUACGUGCCAGCAGCCGCGGUAAUACGUAGGGGGCAAGCGUUAUCCGGAUUUAUUGGGUGUAAAGGGUGCGUAGACGGGAAGGCAAGUUAGUUGUGAAAUCCCUCGGCUUAACUGAGGAACUGCAACUAAAACUAUCUUUCUUGAGUGCUGGUGAGGAA
rnacentral:rRNA from 1 species